rnacentral:rRNA from 1 species
AUUGAACGCUGGCGGCAGGCCUAACACAUGCAAGUCGAACGAGUGGCGGACGGGUGAGUAAUGUCUGGGAAACUGCCCGAUGGAGGGGGAUAACUACUGGAAACGGUAGCUAAUACCGCAUACCAUCGGAUGUGCCCAGAUGGGAUUAGCUAGGAGGUGGGGUAACGGCUCACCUAGGCGACGAUCCCUAGCUGGUCUGAGAGGAUGACCAGCCCUACUGGAACUGAGACACGGUCCAGACUCCGACGGGAGGCAGGCGUGGGGAAUAUUGCGAAAUGGGCGCAAGCCUGAUGCAGCCAUGCCGCGUGUAUGAUGAAGGCCUUCGGGUUGUAAAGUACUUUCAGCGAGGAGGCGUUACUCGCAGAAGAAGCACCGGCUAACUCCGUGCCAGCAGCCGCGGUAAUAC